rnacentral:rRNA from 1 species
AAGGGAUAAACGCUGAAAGCAUCUAAGUGUGAAGCCCACCUCAAGAUGAGAUUUCCCAUUUCUUUAAGAAAGUAAGAUCCCUGAGAGAUGAUCAGGUAGAUAGGUCAGGAGUGGAAGUACAGUGAUGUAUGGAGCGGACUGAUACUAAUCGAUCGAGGACUUAACCAA